rnacentral:rRNA from 1 species
UAAUACGGGAGGCAGCNGUGGGGAAUAUUGCACAAUGGGCGCAAGCCUGAUGCAGCCAUGCCGCGUGUGUGAAGAAGGCCUUAGGGUUGUAAAGCACUUUCAGUAAGGAGGAAAGGUUAGUAGUUAAUACCUGCUAGCUGUGACGUUACUUACAGAAGAAGCACCGGCUAACUCCGUGCCAGCAGCCGCGGUAAUACGGAGGGUGCGAGCGUUAAUCGGAAUUACUGGGCGUAAAGCGUACGCAGGCGGUUUGUUAAGCGAGAUGUGAAAGCCCCGGGCUCAACCUGGGAACUGCAUUUCGAACUGGCAAACUAGAGUAUGAUAGAGGGUGGUAGAAUUUCAGGUGUAGCGGUGAAAUGCGUAGAGAUCUGAAGGAAUACCGAUGGCGAAGGCGGCCACCUGGGUCAAUACUGACGCUCAUGUACAAAAGCGUGGGGAGCAAACGGGAUUAAAUACCCCGGUAGUCCCCGCCGUAAACAAUGUCUACUAGGAGCUGGGGUCUUCGAACAACUUUUCCAAA